AGUGAACGCUGGCGGUAGGCCUAACACAUGCAAGUCGAACGGCAGCACAGUAAGAGCUUGCUCUUACGGGUGGCGAGUGGCGGACGGGUGAGGAAUACAUCGGAAUCUACUUUUUCGUGGGGGAUAACGUAGGGAAACUUACGCUAAUACCGCAUACGACCUACGGGUGAAAGCAGGGGAUCUUCGGACCUUGCGCGAUUGAAUGAGCCGAUGUCGGAUUAGCUAGUUGGCGGGGUAAAGGCCCACCAAGGCGACGAUCCGUAGCUGGUCUGAGAGGAUGAUCAGCCACACGGGAACUGAGACACGGUCCAGACGACUACGGGAGGCAGCAGUGGGGAAUAUUGGACAAUGGGCGCAAGCCUGAUCCAGCCAUACCGCGUGGGUGAAGAAGGCCUUCGGGUUGUAAAGCCCUUUUGUUGGGAAAGAAAAGCAGCAGGUUAAUACCACGCUGUUCUGACGGUACCCAAAGAAUAAGCACCGGCUAACUUCGUG
rnacentral:rRNA from 1 species